GGGCCGGGCAGCCGGCGGGACAUCACCUGACGUCCUCGCGAGACGACGCGUCUUGUGGGGCUGGUAUGUUCGGGACAUGCCCGACCCGC
rnacentral:tRNA from 1 species